rnacentral:rRNA from 1 species
CGCAAGCCUGACGGAGCGACGCCGCGUAUGGGAUGAAGUAUCUAGGUAUGUAAACCAUUGUCAGAGGGGACGAAACAAAUGACGGUACCCUCAGAGGAAGCAUCGGCUAACUACGUGCCAGCAGCCGCGGUAAUACGUAGGAUGCAAGCGUUGUUCGGAAUUACUGGGCGUAAAGAGUACGUAGGCGGUAUGGUAAGUCUGAUAUUAAAGACCGGAGCUCAACUCCGGGACUGUAUCGGAAACUGCCAAACUAGAGGACAAUAGAGGAAGUGGGAAUUCUCAGUGUAGCGGUGAAAUGCGUAGAUAUUGGGAAGAACACCAGUGGCGAAAGCGCACUUCUGGGUUGUUACUGACGCUGAGGUACGAAAGCGUGGGGAGCAAACGGGAUUAGAUACCCCGGUAGUCCACGCUGUAAACGAUGGAUACUAGGUGUAGCCGGUCUCGACCCCGGCUGUGCCGCAGCUAACGCAUUAAGUAUCCCGCCAGGGGAGUAUGGCCGCAAGGUUG